rnacentral:rRNA from 1 species
GACGAACGCUGGCGGCGUGCCUAAUGCAUGCAAGUCGCACGCAGAGUGCUUGCACUCUGAGUGGCGCACGGCUGAGGACCACGUGGGAACAUGCCUCUGAGUGGGGGAUAACAGCGCGAAAGCGCUGCUAAUCCCGCAUACGAUCACAAGAUGAAAGCAGCGAUGCGCUCGGAGAGUGGCCCGCGGCCCAUCAGGUCGUCGGUGGGGUAACGGCCUACCGAGCCGAUGACGGGUAGCUGGUCUGUGAGGACAGACAGCCAGACUGGGACUGAGACACGGCCCAGACUCCUACGGGAGGCAGCAGCAAGGAAUUUUCGUCAAUGGGGGCAACCCUGAACGAGCAACGCCGCGUGCAGGAUGACGGCCUUCGGGUUGUAAACUGCUUUUGCGGGGGACGAUGAUGACGGUACCCCGCGAAUAAGGCUCGGCUAACUCUGUGCCAGCCGCCGCGGUAAUAC